rnacentral:rRNA from 1 species
GACGAGGCACUACGGUGCUGAAGCAACAAAUGCCCUGCUUCCAGGAAAAGCCUCUAAGCAUCAGGUAACACGAAAUCGUACCCCAAACCGACACAGGUGGUCAGGUAGAGAAUACCAAGGCGCUUGAGAGAACUCGGGUGAAGGAACUAGGCAAAAUGGUGCCGUAACUUCGGGAGAAGGCACGCUGACACGUAGGUGAAGUGAUUUACUCAUGGAGCUGAAGUCAGUCGAAGAUACCAGCUGGCUGCAACUGUUUAUUAAAAACACAGCACUGUGCAAACACGAAAGUGGACGUAUACGGUGUGACGCCUGCCCGGUGCCGGAAGGUUAAUUGAUGGGGUCAGCGUAAGCGAAGCUCCUGAUCGAAGCCCCGGUAAACGGCGGCCGUAACUAUAACGGUCCUAAGGUAGCGAAAUUCCUUGUCGGGUAAGUUCCGACCUGCACGAAUGGCGUAAUGAUGGCCAGGCUGUCUCCACCCGAGACUCAGUGAAAUUGAACUCGCUGUGAAGAUGCAGUGUACCCGCGGCAAGACGGAAAGACCCCGUGAACCUUUACUAUAGCUUGACACUGAACAUUGAGCCUUGAUGUGUAGGAUAGGUGGGAGGCUUUGAAGUGUGGACGCCAGUCUGCAUGGAGCCGACCUUGAAAUACCACCCUUUAAUGUUUGAUGUUCUAACGUGGACCCGUAAUCCGGGUUGCGGACAGUGUCUGGUGGGUAGUUUGACUGGGGCGGUCUCCUCCUAAAGAGUAACGGAGGAGCACGAAGGUUGGCUAAUCCUGGUCGGACAUCAGGAGGUUAGUGCAAUGGCAUAAGCCAGCUUGACUGCGAGCGUGACGGCGCGAGCAGGUGCGAAAGCAGGUCAUAGUGAUCCGGUGGUUCUGAAUGGAAGGGCCAUCGCUCAACGGAUAAAAGGUACUCCGGGGAUAACAGGCUGAUACCGCCCAAGAGUUCAUAUCGACGGCGGUGUUUGGCACCUCGAUGUCGGCUCAUCACAUCCUGGGGCUGAAGUAGGUCCCAAGGGUAUGGCUGUUCGCCAUUUAAAGUGGUACGCGAGCUGGGUUUAGAACGUCGUGAGACAGUUCGGUCCCUAUCUGCCGUGGGCGCUGGAGAACUGAGGGGGGCUGCUCCUAGUACGAGAGGACCGGAGUGGACGCAUCACUGGUGUUCGGGUUGUCAUGCCAAUGGCACUGCCCGGUAGCUAAAUGCGGAAGAGAUAAGUGCUGAAAGCAUCUAAGC